UAGGGAAUCUUCGGCAAUGGACGGAAGUCUGACCGAGCAACGCCGCGUGAGUGAAGAAGGUUUUCGGAUCGUAAAGCUCUGUUGUAAGAGAAGAACGAGUGUGAGAGUGGAAAGUUCACACUGAGACGGUAUCUUACCAGAAAGGGCCGGAAAACUGCGUGCCAGCAGCCCACCAUCAGCCGUAGGUCCCGAGCGUUGUCGUUGUCCGGAUUUAUUGGGCGUAAAGCGAGCGCAGGCGGUUAGAUAAGUCUGAAGUUAAAGGCUGUGGCUUAACCAUAGUACGCUUUGGAAACUGUUUAACUUGAGUGCAAGAGGGGAGAGUGGAAUUCCAUGUGUAGCGGUGAAAUGCGUAGAUAUAUGGAGGAACACCGGUGGCGAAAGCGGCUCUCUGGCUUGUAACUGACGCUGAGGCUCGAAAGCGUGGGGAGCAAACAGGAUUAGAUACCCUGGUAGUCCACGCCGUAAACGAUGAGUGCUAGGUGUUAGACCCUUUCCGGGGUUUAGUGCCGCAGCUAACGCAUUAAGCACUCCGCCUGGGGAGUACGACCGCAAGGUUG
rnacentral:rRNA from 1 species